CGUACAAUUUUAUUUUUCUUUUUUUUUCAUGCCCUUUUUUCCACCGAUCGUCAAGUCCAGCUGUAGAUAUCAUCAAAGUCCACCUAAUGCCCUUCUUUCUUUCCCGACCUAUUUAUUUAUUUUCUAUUUUCGAUAGCGCGGUGGAUCCCUCGAAUCGGGCCCUUUAAAAUCCUCCGCGCAGUCCUCACCUCCUCGCGAAUCCCAGCACUAAAAACAAGCCCGAGGGGAUUUAGCGCUUCCCUCUUGUCUCUCUCUUCUCGCAUCGCUCGCCGCUCUCUCGCCAUGGAAUCCGUAGCGGCUUCUGCGAUCCCACGAGGACAGGUGGAUCUAGUCGAUUUCGUGGACUGGAGCGGAGUCGAAUGCCUUAAUCAGAGCACGAGUCACUCGCUUAUCAAUGCCGUGAAACAGGGUUAUAGGGAUGAUGAUGGUUUGCAUCUGGAGAGCGAUGCAGAUGAGCAACUUUUGAUUUAUAUUCCUUUCGCUCAAGUGAUCAAGCUGCAUUCAAUUGUUAUUAAAGGGCCGGAAGAGGAAGGCCCAAAGAUGGUUAAACUUUUCACAAACAAGGAGCACAUGGGCUUUAGUAAUGUUAGUGACUACCCACCCAGUGACUCAAUUGCUUUUACCCCAGAAAAUCUAAAGGGAAAGGCUGUUAACUUGAAGUAUGUCAAGUUUCAGAGUGUUCGCAGCUUGACAAUUUUUAUUGAGGACAACCAAGGUGGUAAUGACAUCUCUAAGGUUCAGAAGAUUGUCCUUUAUGGAACUACGCGAUUCGCAGUGUACCGUGGGAGAUUUCAUGAGUCGUAUAGGCAUAGCCUAAUACGUGGUGACAAUAAAUGCGCAUGGCCAUUGUUCUAUUAUUCUCCAAACUUUCACAUCCAACCAGUGAUCAAUGGCCCAACUUUCUUUUCCCAUAUUAAAGAAAAGAUGUUACUGUCUUUCCUUGGAUACGCUCGCAGCUUACCUAUCUCGGCUAGAUGUAGGAAUAUUGAAUAGAUGUCAAAAAAAUGUAACCUCGCUAGGUGGGGGCAGAUUGAUGACACAUUAAAUGUCGGCAGUGACGACCUUCCCUUAGAUCUACUGAUCUCGAUGGCAGGAAUCAAUUUUUCUGUCAGGGUAGUCAUUCGGAGGUCCACUUGUCUGUUCAUUCUGGUGGACACAACAAACAUGAAGGAUUUGAAGAAGAUUGAAGAGCACUAAGUGUGGGAAAUCUGAUGAGAUGUAAGCAAGGAAAACCGAUACCAAUUAUUUUUUUUCUUCCAAUGCAUUCCCUUUUAACAGAAUGAAAUCAUAGUUUAUUAGGUUCUCACAUUGCCCCCUUGAAACUUUUUAUCAUUCUCCUUGUAUUAUUACCGGUCUUAUAUUAUGGGUUCCAAUGAUCCGGAAUUUCUGUGUUUUAUCAGAUAGGAUAAUGUAUACUCUUUUUUUGGGGACAUGGUGUUAUGAGGGGUGGGGGCAUGAUCUCCAUCUCUAGAUUUGAUUU